rnacentral:rRNA from 1 species
UACGUAGGGUGCAAGCGUUGUCCGGAAUACUGGGCGUAAAGCGCACGCAGGCGGUUUGUUAAGUCAGAUGUGAAAUCCCCGCGCUUAACGUGGGAACUGCAUUUGAAACUGGCAAGCUAGAGUCGUCGUAGAGGGGGUAGAAUUCCAGGUGUAGCGGUGAAAUGCGUAGAGAUCUGGAGGAUACCGGUGGCGAAGGCGGCCCCCUGGACGAAGACUGACG